rnacentral:tRNA from 1 species
UACUCCUAUUAUUUGGCCCGAUUAGUGUCAGUUCAAACGUUAUUUGAUUUUAUCCUUACGCUUUAUGUGGUUUGUACGUGUUGAUGAUUUUC